rnacentral:rRNA from 1 species
CUACGUGCCAGCAGCCGCGGUAAUACGUAGGUCCCGAGCGUUGUCCGGAUUUAUUGGGCGUAAAGCGAGCGCAGGCGGUUAGAUAAGUCUGAAGUUAAAGGCUGUGGCUUAACCAUAGUACGCUUUGGAAACUGUUUAACUUGAGUGCAAGAGGGGAGAGUGGAAUUCCAUGUGUAGCGGUGAAAUGCGUAGAUAUAUGGAGGAACACCGGUGGCGAAAGCGGCUCUCUGGCUUGUAACUGACGCUGAGGCUCGAAAGCGUGGGGAGCAAACAGGAUUAGAUACCCUGGUAGUCCACGCCGUAAACGAUGAGUGCUAGGUGUUAGACCCUUUCCGGGGUUUAGUGCCGUAGCUAACGCAUUAAGCACUCCGCCUGGGGAGUACGACCGCAAGGUUGAAACUCAAAGGAAUUGACGGGGGCCCGCACAAGCGGUGGAGCAUGUGGUUUAAUUCGANGCAACGCGAAGAACCUUACCAGGUCUUGAC